rnacentral:misc_RNA from 1 species
UUUCCGUAGGUGAACCUGCGGAAGGAUCAUUAUCGUAGGGCUUCGGCCCUGUCGAGAUAGAACCCUUGCCUUUCUGAGUACCUUUCGUUUCCUCGGCAGCCUCGGCUGCCAAUGGGGACCCCAAAAAACACUUUGCAGUACCUGUAACAGUCUGAACAAACAAACAAAAAUUAAAACUUUCAACAACGGAUCUCUUGGUUCUG